rnacentral:rRNA from 1 species
CCUACGGGAGGCAGCAGUGAGGAAUAUUGGUCAAUGGGCGCGAGCCUGAACCAGCCAAGUCGCGUGAGGGAAGACGGUCCUAUGGAUUGUAAACCUCUUUUGUCGGGGAGCAAAAGACGCCACGCGUGGCGUUCCGAGAGUACCCGAAGAAAAAGCAUCGGCUAACUCCGUGCCAGCAGCCGCGGUAAUACGGAGGAUGCGAGCGUUAUCCGGAUUUAUUGGGUUUAAGGGGUGCGCAGGCGGAAGAUCAAGUCAGUGGUAAAAUUGAGAGGCUCAACCUCUUCGAGCCGUUGAAACUGGUUGUCUUGAGUGAGUGAGAAGUAUGCGGAAUGCGUGGUGUAGCGGUGAAAUGCAUAGAUAUCACGCAGAACUCCGAUUGCGAAGGCAGCAUACCGGCGCUCAACUGACGCUCAUGCACGAAAGUGUGGGUAUCGAACAGGAUUAGAUACCCGAGUAGUC